CAGCAGCCGCGGUAAUACAGAGGGUGCGAGCGUUAAUCGGAUUUACUGGGCGUAAAGCGUGCGUAGGCGGCUUCUUAAGUCGGAUGUGAAAUCCCUGAGCUUAACUUAGGAAUUGCAUUCGAUACUGGGAAGCUAGAGUAUGGGAGAGGAUGGUAGAAUUCCAGGUGUAGCGGUGAAAUGCGUAGAGAUCUGGAGGAAUACCGAUGGCGAAGGCAGCCAUCUGGCCUAAUACUGACGCUGAGGUACGAAAGCAUGGGGAGCAAACAGGAUUAGAUACCCGGGUAGCUGUCUCUUAUACACU
rnacentral:rRNA from 1 species